GUCUUUUUGAGUUUAAUUUAAAGUCUAAUCUGCCCACUGAUAAAUAUUUAAGGGCCGCAGUAUUCUGACUGUGCAAAGGUAGCAUAAUCAUUAGUCUUUUAAUUGAGGGCUUGUAUGAAUGAUUGGACGAGAUAUAAGCUGUCUCAUAAAAAUUUAAAUAGAAUUUUAUUUUUUAGUCAAAAAGCUAAAAUGAUUUUAAAAGACGAGAAGACCCUAUAGAUCUUUAUAAUUUACUUUUAAAUUUUUUUAGGUUAUUUUUUAAGUUUAUAAGUUAAAUUAUUUUGUUGGGGUGACAAUGAAAUUUAAUAAACUUUCAUUAUUUUGAAACAUUAAUUUAUGGUUAAUUGAUCCACUAUUAGUGAUUAAAAAUUUAAGUUACCUUAGGGAUAACAGCGUAAUUAUUUUGGAGAGUUCUUAUCAAUAAAAUAGUUUGCGACCUCGAUGUUGGAUUAAGAUUAAUUCUGGGUGUAGCAGUUCAGUUUAUUAAGUCUGUUCGACUUUUAAUUUCUU
rnacentral:rRNA from 1 species